AACGAACGCUGGCGGCAUGCCUAACACAUGCAAGUCGAACGAGACCUUCGGGUCUAGUGGCGCACGGGUGCGUAACGCGUGGGAACCUGCCCUUAGGUUCGGAAUAACUCCCCGAAAGGGGUGCUAAUACCGGAUAAUGUCUUCGGACCAAAGAUUUAUCGCCUUUGGAUGGGCCCGCGUUGGAUUAGCUAGUUGGUAGGGUAAAAGCCUACCAAGGCGACGAUCCAUAGCUGGUCUGAGAGGAUGAUCAGCCACACUGGGACUGAGACACGGCCCAGACCCCUACGGAGGCAGGAGGGGGGAAUUAUGGGAAAUGGGGCGAAACCCUGAUCCGGCAAUGCCGGGUAAGUGAUGAGGGCUUUGGAGUUGUAAAGCUUUUUUCCCCGGAAGGAAAUGGACGGAACCGGGGAAGAAGACUCCGGUAAACUCGUU
rnacentral:rRNA from 1 species